UACGUAGGUGGCGAGCGUUGUCCGGAUUUACUGGGCGUAAAGAGCGCGCAGGCGGUCGUUCAAGUCGGAUGUGAAAGCCCCCGGCUCAACUGGGGAGGGCCAUUCGAUACUGAUCGACUCGAAGGCAGGAGAGGGAAGCGGAAUUCCCGGUGUAGUGGUGAAAUGCGUAGAUAUCGGGAGGAACACCAGUGGCGAAGGCGGCUUCCUGGCCUGUUCUUGACGCUGAGGCGCGAAAGCUAGGGGAGCAAACGGG
rnacentral:rRNA from 1 species